UUUUCUUCAAAUAUUUCUUUGUGUGGCUUUUAUCUGUACAGAUUGAUUUCAAAGCCACAGAUCUGAUGAGGCUUUUCUCUUGUGAUUCUGAAUAGAAAAAGAUCGACCUUUUACUUGCCUAUGAGAGUCUGGUGUUUUUGGUAAGAUCAGCAAGGAUGUCAAGUUCCCAGAGCACUUGAAUUUUUCUUAAUUCAUAUGCAAAACAGAUGAUUAUAGCCCUGUGUACAGCUUGUAUGCUGUGGUUGUCCAUCAUGAUGUUAUAAAUACAACCAUCUCUGGUCAUUAUGUAUGUUAUCCGAAGGAUCCUCAGUGGAAGUGGCACGAGAUGGACGAUAGCAAGGUAAAUAAUAUGUCUGAACCUGCCUAGUACAAUACCUUAGCAGAGAGCUCCCUCAAUACCUGCUGUAUUCCAUCAUUACUAGUUCAUUUGAUGAUUGUGUUUUUGUAUUGUUUGUGAACUGAAAAUGAAUAAAUGAUGCACAAAGACAAAGUAAGCAUGACACUAGUAAGAAUUGAGCCUGUUCUAUUCGUAAUGAUAUAUCCUAGAAUUUAUUUGGAGGCAACUAGCUCCAGUGUACUUGCAUGUUGGCAGAAUCAACUGAUUGGUUAGUAAUUUUAUUUUACCAGGAAGUGUGUGGCACUCUUGGUCUUGGGACAUGAAAAUGAUGGUAAAAGACUAGUGUUUAGUGAAUUUCAGUUUGUAAUAUGCAUUCUCUUCUGGUUUAGGAUGAAUUGCUAGUUCUUUUCAGUUUUGACAACUUCAACAUGGCUGCCAUCUAAUUGAGUUAAUUUGGUUCUUGGUUAGGUACAAAAAUACAGCGACAUUGAAUUAGCAUGAACUGCCAUCCUUUAUAUUACUACAGUUCAACUUCAAGGUGAACUUCAGUUACCUUUUGUUUCACUUAGAGUCAUAUUGAGCAUACCACAAGUUCAAAAAACUAGCUAGGAAUCUUGUAUACAAGGAGUUAUAUAGAAUUUUAUGCCAUAACUUGAUGGAUGACAAUGUGGUCUGUAUGUACAAAUUGUAAACGACAUGUAUAUGAAACUAUCCUACAAAUUGGAUUUGUUGUAAUCAUGGAUGCGGACCUACAUGUGUGUGUAU